rnacentral:lncRNA from 1 species
AUUACUUACAUCCAGUUGACUGAUAGUGUGAAGACUCCAACUUCAUUUACAAGGGGAUCUAUACAGUACUGUAAUUGGUAUCACCUGAAUAUCACUGCUGCACUAUUACAGUCCCACUUGAAGAACUUCCUUUCACCACUGUCCGUCAAGGUCCGCUAAGUGUUGUAGGAGGCCCCUCUCUUUCUCACCUCUGCCCAGCAGUAGCCUAUCUAGACAUCCAGAACCUCUGAGACCUGCUGUGUGUUUUCUCACAAAGCAGUGCAGUAAGAGAGUCCUCAGGAGGCUUUGCACUCAGAGUUCCAGGCAGAAAAAGAAGAAAGGAGAAUAGAGAGAAGAACAAAGAGGAAUACUUGUGUGUUUGUGGGGACACAUAGAGCAUCCCCUAAGAACUUCCAGAAAUAAUUGUGAGAUGCUUGGGGAGAAGGACUGAUACUCCAUCAUUAACACAGAAUGAAUUUAUUAAGUUUUAUUCUUAUGGAACAAUUGUUGGAGGUAACUCUACUGUCUUCAGUUGUCAUUUUGAGAGAGGAGAUAAUGGAUCACAGAUGCACUUUUCAAAGUUUGAGUCUCAGCCUUGGGGGUUGGCACCUAGGCUCUUCCAAGUUACCUCUUUCCUUAGGCUAUUCCCCUCAGCCCUAGAGUUAGUAGUUGCAAUUUACAUCUCUUAUUCUUAUAUGCCUUAAAGUUCUCUUUACCCUUUUUAGAUGUUAAGCCAAUUUCACCAUUCCUUGUGAAUGGAUACAAGAGUACAGCAUGUCAAAAAUAUGGGGGCAUAAAAGCAGUGUGAGAGUUAUGUCAGCAAAAAUGCUGGACUAAGGUCUUCCAAAAGUUUGCCUCUGCAUAAAAGCAAUGAAAAAUCUGGCAAAAAUGGUCAAAAUCAACUUUUUCAAGACUCUCUAAUUAAGCAAUAGCUUGCAGCAAUCCGGUGAACAUUUACUCAAGAAAAACAGCUAAAUCUCAGGAAGAACAGUGAAAUUUGUGAUAUUUCAACUUGUGACAUUUCAACUGCUCCCAUCUCAUGCUGCCCAGCUCCAUGACAGCCUUGAAAGAGAACUGCCCAACUUCCCAGUACGAGAGGGAGCAGAGCAGCACCAGAAAUCUUCCAUUUGAGAAUUUCCAUUUGAAUUUGGGUAUCCUGAUCUGAGUGGUGGUUCAUUGGAAGAACCAGAGGUUCCAGGCAGUUAUGGAAAUCUCUUCACAAUCCUUAGCUGAUCACUGAGCUAAUUAAAUGAAGUCUUGAGGAAAGAUACAGACUUUACAAAAAAGGAUUUGAAAGCCAAUGAACAGGGACUCCUGGGUGGCUCAGUCAGUUAAGCAUCUGCCUUAGGCUUAGGUCAUGAUCUUAGGGUCCUAGAAUCAAGCCCCAUAUCAGGCUCCCUACUUGGCAAGGAGUCUGCUUUUCCCUAUCCCUCCACCCUGCUCCCUCCCCGUGCUCUCUCAUUCUCUCUCUCUCAAAUAAAUAAAUAAAAUCUUAAAAUGAAGAAAGUCA